ACGAAAAGAGUAUGCGUGAGCAGUAUAUUCUUAUAUAUCUUCGGUGCUGAAAAUAGCAAACGAUAGAAGAUAGUAGAGGGGUUUGAACAAAAUAGCUUUGGCAUCUUUUUAUUGACCUUUGGCAUAACAUUUUAGAUUAGAUUUAGUGGGCGCUCUUAUAGAGCUACCUGGGGUAUUAGAGGUUUGGAGCCCUCACCGCUCCUAUCUUAAGAUCCGUCGCUGCAUUCAUUAGCAUAUGUACAUAUCAUUUCAGUUUAGAAAUAUAUAUAUAUAUAUAGAGCUUGAUUUUGCUAAAUAUAUUUUUUUGAGACACUUUCACUGAAAGCACAAGACUGUUAGAAAAUCCUGAAAAAUUCGCUCCAACGAGUAGUCGAACCGUCGAACCUAGGACCGCAGGUGCUACUGAGGCCUUUGUAACCACUGGACUACAGGC
rnacentral:lncRNA from 1 species